rnacentral:rRNA from 1 species
GAUGAACGCUGGCGGCGUGCCUAAUACAUGCAAGUCGAGCGAACAGAUGAGGAGCUUGCUCCUCUGACGUUAGCGGCGGACGGGUGAGUAACACGUGGAUAACCUACCUAUAAGACUGUGAUAACUUCGGGAAACCGGAGCUAAUACCGUAUAAUAUAUUGAACCGCAUGGUUCAAUAGUGUAAGACGGUUUUGCUGUCACUUAUAGAUGGCUCCGCGCCGAAUUAGCUAGUUGGUAAGGUAACGGCUUACCAAGGCAACGAUGCGUAGCCGACCUGAGAGGGUGAGCGGCCACACUGGUACUGAGACACGGUACAGACUCCUACGGGAGGCAGCAGUAGGGAAUCUUCAGCAAUGAGCGAAAGCCUGACGGAGCAACGCCGCGUGAGUGAUGAAGGUCUUCGGAUCGUAAAACUCUGUUAUUAGGGAAGAACAAAUGUGUAAGUAACUAUGCACGUCUUGACGGUACCUAAUCAGAAAGCCACGGCUAACUACGUG